UACGGAAGGGGCAAGCGCUGUUCGGAAUCAUUGGGCGUAAAGGGCGCGUAGGCGGCGGGGUAAGUCUGGUGUGAAAUCUCGGAGCUCAACUCCGAAAUUGCACUGGAUACUGCUCUGCUUGAGGGUUGGAGAGGAGAUCGGAAUUCACGGUGUAGCAGUGAAAUGCGUAGAUAUCGUGAGGAAGACCAGUGGCGAAGGCGGAUCUCUGGACAAAUCCUGACGCUGAGGCGCGAAGGCUAGGGGAGCAAACGGG
rnacentral:rRNA from 1 species